rnacentral:misc_RNA from 1 species
GAUGAAGAACGCAGCGAAAUGCGAUAAGUAAUGUGAAUUGCAGAAUUCAGUGAAUCAUCGAAUCUUUGAACGCACAUUGCGCCCGCUAGUAUUCUGGCGGGCAUGCCUGUCCGAGCGUCAUUUCAACCCUCAAGCCCCCGGGCUUGGUGUUGGGGAUCGGCGAGCCUCCGCGCCCGCCGUCCCCUAAAUCUAGUGGCGGUCUCGCUGUAGCUUCCUCUGCGUAGUAGCACACCUCGCACUGGGAAACAGCGCGGCCACGCCGUUAAACCCCCAACUUCUGAACGUUUGACCUCGGAUCAGGUAGGAAUACCCGCUGAACUUAAGCAUAUCAAAAGCGGAGGA